CCUUGUCCUCAUUUCGAUACUGACCCUCUCCCCAGCAAAGAUCCUCUCUCCUCUGCUAGGCAUCCUUGGUAUGCAAAACAUGGCUUCUCUGUCCUGGUAUUCCAGAGUGGGACUGAGAAGUGCUGGUGCUUGGAGCUGUCCUGUUGCUUGCUUCUCAUCUCCCUGCAGGUUUGUACAGCAUCUUCAGACAACAUGAGAGGACACUGAGGGGGAGGUGGCAUAGGAUGGUGAGAAUGCUGCUGCUGGGAAAGCCAUGCAUGCCAGGGAGCAAAGGCUUCAGUGGUUACUGCUGCUCUGCACUACUGUUUGGCCGUGAAUGGAUGUGAAUGCAGCUGUUGGAGGAAUUGGGCUUCUGGGUGCCCAUCUGCUUAGGUCAAAUGCUGCUCUGGAAGCAACACUGCUGUCACCUGUGGGGCAGAGCUGAGAUGUGAGUGAACACUUGCUGUUCUUCAGAAUCAGGCCGGGGUGUGCAAGUCCAAGCACAGGUUCAGUGGAUGGAUGUGUGAAGAAAGUCUGAGGCAAGGAGGGAAGCAGAAUGCCAAGCAUGGGAGGCCUGGAGCAUGCAGCCAGUCCCAGUCCUGCUGCCCUGGGAAUGUUCUGUAAUGCCUGCAUGCCAGGCAAGAGGGAGUGACUUCAAAGCACAUCUUUAUUAGGGUACACUGCUUAGCAUCAAAGAAAUGUCAGGGCUGCUCUACAC